GGCUGGGGGGCUUCACCCCAGACAGAGACCCUUUGCCGUCUAGGGGCAGCCUCCCUGUCCCAUUUGGGGUUGGCUGUUUGACCGGUCAAGUAGAGCUUGGUCAAUUGACAAGAUUUGGCCGGUCAGCGGCUCGGCUUGCCCACCCUAGUCACAUUAUAGCACGAGGGCAUGGUGGGUGAGGUAGCCGG